rnacentral:rRNA from 1 species
AUUGAACGCUGGCGGCAGGCCUAACACAUGCACGUCGAACGAGUGGCGGACGGGUGAGUAAUGUCUGGGAAACUGCCUGAUGGAGGGGGAUAACUACUGGAAACGGUAGCUAAUACCGCAUACCAUCGGAUGUGCCAAGAUGGGAUUAGCUAGUAGGUGGGGUAACGGCUCACCUAGGCGCCGAUCCCUAGCUGGUCUGAGAGGAUGACCAGCCACACUGGAACGGGGAAACGGUCCAGACUCCUACGGGAGGCAGCAGUGGGGAAUAUUGCACAAUGGGGGCAAGCCUGAUGCCGCCAUGCCGCGUGUAUGAAGAAGGCCUUCGGGUUGUAAAGUACUUUCAGCGGGGAGGCGUUACCCGCAGAAUAAGCACCGGCUAACUCCGUGCCAGCAGCCGCGGUAAUAC